rnacentral:rRNA from 1 species
AUUGAACGCUGGCGGCAUGCUUUACACAUGCAAGUCGAACGGCAGCGCGGGCUUCGGCCUGGCGGCGAGUGGCGAACGGGUGAGUAAUACAUCGGAACGUGCCCAGUAGUGGGGGAUAGCUCGGCGAAAGCCGGAUUAAUACCGCAGACGACCUGAGGGUGAAAGCGGGGGAUCUUCGGACCUCGCGCUAUUGGAGCGGCCGAUGGCAGAUUAGCUAGUUGGUGGGGUAAAGGCUUACCAAGGCGACGAUCUGUAGCUGGUCUGAGAGGACGACCAGCCACACUGGGACUGAGCCACGGCCCAGACUCCUACGGGAGGCAGCAGUGGGGAAUUUUGGACAAUGGGCGAAAGCCUGAUCCAGCAAUGCCGCGUGUGUGAUGAAGGCCUUCGGGUUGUAAAGCACUUUUGGCGGGAACGAAAAGGACUGUGCCAAUACCACGGUUCGAUGACGGUACCCGCAGAAUAAGCACCGGCUAACUCCGUG